GCGUGUGUAGCUCAAUUGGUUAGAGCACCAAGCUUAUACCUUGGUGGUUCUAGGUUCGAGUCCUAGCGCACGCACCC
rnacentral:tRNA from 1 species